ACAAGAGACAGGACCUGUUGAGGCAGAGUUUUAUGGAUUGAGCCCAGAUCUGUAAAAAAACAUCAUCCAGAACACUAUGUUUUCCAAGAGGAGUUUACGAAUCACAUACUCAGUUGCCGUUUCAUCUGUAUGUUUGCAGUGCUGAUAAAUAAAGUCUCUCUGCAGGUCACAAUAGAGGCGGUUAUCGGUGGUUCUGUUGUUCUGCCAUGUUCAGCUGAACAUGAUCUUACACUUCAAGAUACUGAAGUGCAUUGGAGAGACAAAGACAGCAAGAUUGUGUUUGAUAUAAUUAAGGGUAAAGAUACAGUAGCUGAACAAGACCCACAGUACAAGAACAGAGCUGAAACUUUCCCUGAUGAGUAUCUGAGAGGAAACUUCUCCCUCAAACUCAACAAUCUUCAACACACUGACACAGGAAAAUUCAGCUGCUUCACCACACCCUCAAAUGAACAGAAGACUAUACAGUUGAUCAUCAAUGAAUCAACAGCAGAAAACGGAAAUAAAAGCACUGAACAAGAAAACCAAGGACCAAAAACACAGUCAGUCUGGAUGAUGAUAUUCAUCUGUGUUUUUCUGUUACUUGCAUCAAUUGUUCUGUCUGUAGCCUAUUUUAUGUUUAAAUGGAGAAACAGAGCUCAAGCUGCCUCAGAAGGAACAGUGACAAACUUUUAGUUACUUUUAGCUAAAUUAGUACAGCUUUCAUUGUUUCUUUCUGGUGCACACUACUGUUAAGGCAUGUAUUACAAGUAUUAAACUUUUUGUUCUGUUAUAUACAGUAUGUUGUGUUUUGCCAGAAUAAAGUUUCCUGGCAAUGUAAAACUAUUAAAAGGGGAAACCUCUUUAUUUAGAUGAGGUUACUAACACAAUUAAUAAUCUUAAACUGAACAUGUUUCCAAGACUGAACAGUUUUCUUCUGAAAUUCACAGAUUUUGCUAAAAAUGAGUUUGCUAAACUUUUAGAUACUUUCCUUUGUGUAUUUUCAUACCAAGUAUUAUGAUGGCUUCUCUUCACCUGCACUUACUCAAGGCCUUAUUAUGUUACUCCAAACACUAUUUGUCUAAAUAAAUGCAACCUUUGUUUUUAGUGUCUUAAA